rnacentral:rRNA from 1 species
CGAAGGCAGCUUUCUGGAUCAUUACUGACACUGAGGAACGAAAGCAUGGGUAGCGAAGAGGAUUAGAUACCCUCGUAGUCCAUGCCGUAAACGAUGUGUGUUAGACGUUGGAAAUUUAUUUUCAGUGUCGCAGGGAAACCGAUAAACACACCGCCUGGGGAGUACGACCGCAAGGUUAAAACUCAAAUGAAUUGACGGGGACCCGCACAAGUAGUGGAGCAUGUGGUUUAAUUCGAAGAUACGCGCAGAACCUUACCAACACUUGACAUGUUCGUCGCGACUCUAAGAGAUUAGAGUUUUCGGUUCGGCCGGACGAAACACAGGUGCUGCAUGGCUGUCGUCAGCUCGUGUCGUGAGAUGUUGGGUUAAGUCCCGCAACGAGCGCAACCCUCACUUUUAGUUGCCAUCAUUAAGUUGGGCACUCUGAAAGAACUGCCAGUGAUAAGCUGGAGGAAGGUGGGGAUGACGUCAAGUCCUCAUGGCCCUUACGUGUUGGGCUACACACGUGCUACAAUGGCAUCUACAACAGGAAGCAAAACGGCAACGUUAAGCAAAUCCCGAAAAGAUGCCUCAGUUCGGAUUGCACUCUGCAACUCGAGUGCAUGAAGCUGGAAUUACUAGUAAUCGUGGAUCAGCGUGCCACGGUGAAUGCGUUCCCGGGUCUUGUACACACCGCCCGUCACACCAUGGGAGUUGGUUCUACCUUAAGGCAAGGUUUCAAACCCUUGACCACGGUAUAGUCAGCGACUGGGGUGAAGUCGUAACAAGGUAACCGUA